rnacentral:rRNA from 1 species
UACGUAGGGUGCAAGCGUUAAUCGGAAUUACUGGGCGUAAAGCGUGCGCAGGCGGUGAUGUAAGACAGAUGUGAAAUCCCGGGCUCAACCUGGGAACUGCAUUUGUGACUGCAUCGCUGGAGUACGGCAGAGGGGAUGGAAUUCCGCGUGUAGCAGUGAAAUGCGUAGAUAUGCGGAGGAACACCGAUGGCGAAGGCAUCCCCUGGGCCUGUACUGACGCUCAUGCACGAAAGCGUGGGGAGCAAACAGG